AUCUUACAACUAGGUCAGUAUGAUGAGGUGUUGUUUGACACACAAAUUCUUAAAUAUUAUAUGCCUUAAAAGAAAAGAUCAGGCUGUAAUGUAUUUUCUCCCCUAAGAAGGAGAAGCUCAAAAUAUGGGUCAGAGAGAUACCUACUAUGUUUGCAGAGUUGUACUAGUUAUUGGAGAUGAAAAGAUUUUUUAAACUAGACCCCAGCUCUAAAGGAGCUUAAAAGAAAAGCACAAGUUAAUUUGUCACACUAAUCAUGAAUCCAGAGAACUCAUUUUGUUCAUCAGGAAAGCAGUUGCCCAAAUCCAUAGUCUCUUCACCUGCUGCCUCACCAUUCAUACCAGAAAUCAUACCCCACAGGAAUUUACAUCUUAGUGUCCUGCUUUCCACAUCCACAUCCUGCUUUUCCAAUCUCUCCUAGGAUAUUUUCAGAAGAACCUCCGCCAUGAUUAAUUUAAAUUCCUCCUUUCUAGCUACCACCUGCAUUUCUCCUAACUAUCUGAUUUGUUAGAAACCUCAUUUCCCUUUUUCUCCCCCACCCCCUGCAUUGUCCUUAAGCUUUGGAACCAUAAACCACUAUUACCCCUCGGAGAAAUAUAUUCAAUCUACUCCCAUAUGUCCCCACUCACCAUCCCUAUAAUUUUUUGGACCAAAAUGCUCCUCCCUUUCCACUACUCCCCUUCGUUGUUUCACCCCAAAAGACUAUAAGUUUCUUGAGGAUAGGAGUAGUUUCAGUUUUUGUAUUUGAAUUCCCAACACUUAAUACAGUAUCCUAUGCAUAGUAAAUGUUGCCAUUCAUUUAUUGGAUAAUCAAAAAAUGGGUACUUUCUUUCUCUAAAGUUGCCCAUAGCCAGAUUAUUAACACAUUUUCUCUUGGGCCAGUAUUUCCAUAGACUUUACAAUGCACAAGAAGACCGUGCUGACAACAAAAGAGCAAGAGAAAAUAAGAAUAACUGGGCCAAGAGAAAACCACCGGGAGGCAUCUUCUGUAUUGUUCUAAAUAUCACAUAUGAUGUGUGAUUUCUUAGGAAUACAUGAAACAAAGUAUUUUUGAAAUGUUUCCUCAAUAACAAAAAGCCUCACAUUUUA